rnacentral:pre_miRNA from 1 species
AAACCAGUGAAAGGGAAACUCAACGUUGGCAAGGAAACUAUAAUCAGUGAGACAAUAUUAUUGCUCACAAGAUUGAGGUUGAGUCUUUGCCAAAGGAGAGUUGCCCUUUUACUGUUUU